AUUGAACGCUGGCGGCAGGCCUAACACAUGCAAGUCGAACGAGUGGCGGACGGGUGAGUAAUGUCUGGGAAACUGCCCGAUGGAGGGGGAUAACUACUGGAAACGGUGGCUAAUACCGCAUACUAUCGGAUGACCCCAUAUGGGAUUAGCUAGUAGGUGGGGUAAAGGCUCACCUAGGCGACGAUCUCUCGCUGGUCUGAGAGGAUGAUAGGCCAAACUGGGACGAGGACACGGCCCAGACCCCUACGGGGGGCAGCAGUGGGGAAUAUUGCACAAUGGGGGGAACCUUGAUGCAGCCAGGCGGGGUGUAUGAAGAAGGCUUUAGGGUUGUAAAGUACUUUCAGGGGGAAGGCUUAACCCGCAGAAGAAGCACCGGCUAACUCCGGGCAAGCAGCCGCGGUAAUA
rnacentral:rRNA from 1 species